rnacentral:rRNA from 1 species
GUACACGUGUGACUAGCAUAUCAAUAAGCGGAGGAAAAGAAACUAACAAGGAUUCCCCUAGUAACGGCGAGUGAAGCGGGAAGAGCUCAAAUUUGAAAUCUUAAAGGGUUUCCCUUUACGAAUUGUAGUUUAAAGAAGUGUUUUCUGUUGAGGUUUUGGUAAAAGUUCUUUGGAAUAGGACAUCAUAGAGGGUGAGAAUCCCGUAUUUGACCUUUACUUUCAACUUUGUGAUACACUUUCAAAGAGUCGGAUUGUUUGGGAAUGCAGUCCAAAAUGGGUGGUAAAUUUCAUCUAAAGCUAAAUAUUGGCGAGAGACCGAUAGCGAACAAGUACCGUGAGGGAAAGAUGAAAAGAACUUUGAAAAGAGAGUUAAACAGUACGUGAAAUUGUCAAAAGGGAAGCGUUUGACACCAGUGUUGUUUUUCUGAAAAUCAAUUAAAGAACUGUUUAUGCUAAGUUGUUUAGACUUUAUCAGCUAUCUGUUUAGUUUUGAGCUUUUCUUUAAUGCACUUUUCAGUUAACAAGUCAACAUCAAUUUCUUUUGCUGUAAAAAAGCUUGAGGAAGGUGGCUUGAGAUUCGUCUUAAGUGUUUAUAGCCUCUUGCCUAUGCAGUUCGGAGAGAUUGAGGUCUGCAGCGUAGAUCCUUCGGGGCUAAAUGCAUUUGUGCUAAGUUAUAGCAUUUUAUAGACAACUUGUUGACUAUGAUUUGUCUUGUAGCUUACUCGCUUAUGUUAUUUCUACCUACGCUUAGGAUGUUGAUAUGCAUGACUGAUAU